AGAGGAGAGAGUGGCCCGCUUUCGGUCACACAGGAGCGGUGGAUCCUGCAGCCCAAAUUUGUCUUGUAUCACUGAACUCUGCAAUGGACAGCUAUGCAUUCCUUACAGAUCCUUAAGAGGGCAUAUGAAAAACUAGAAGAAAGCAUCCCAGGAGAGACCUCUCUCGGGGGGAGUAACAGUGAACGUGGCUUGCCCGUCUCGGAAAGAAACCCCGAAGGACAUUUUCCUUGUUAAGAUUCCUCUCGUUAAAAAGCUGUGCAGUCCUAAAAUGCUAUUGAACAAUAGCUUUUCGCACAGAGGCUGCGUAGCCAAUAGUCCCCUCUAAGCUGCUGCAACCCCACCGCUUCCAUCUCCCCCAGAGGCAGCAGGGCUGGAGCCCAGGGCUCUGCUGUGGGCCUCCUCGGCCUCACCGUCCUCACCAGCUUGGCUUCCGUUCCUUCUGAACAGUCUUCUCCCCGGGCUACUUCCACUUCCCUGUCCGUUAGGAAGGCUAUAGGAAAAGUGACUUCUAAAACUUUUAGUUAUGACAUCUCUUCAGUGCCAAUUGUUGGUUGGUGCCGUAGUUGUCGAGGUUUGCCUAAAUUUUGUCUAAAGUUAGACACUUUACUUGGGAACAUUGUCUGAGAUCUACAUCAGAAAAAGAUCCGGACAGGUGAUUUGCAGUCCACUCAAACCAUUGUCAAGUGGUUCUUUCAUUUCAUUUAUUUAUUUUCAGAACACUGCUAUGAGUUCCUGAAAUGAAAUGAAAGGUUUGUAGUGAUUAGUACUUGAAAGGAAUAGGUCCCUGCUGGUAGACGUUUCUGGUAAAUUUAUGUAAAUCUGGUAAAUUUUUGCCUUCCUUCCUUCCUUCCUUCCUUCCUUCCUUCCUUCCUUCCUUUGCUCCCUCCGUCCCUCCCUUCUUCCUUCCUUUCUUCCUUCCUUCCUUCCCCCCACAUGGAGACCCGUGACCUCCAACAGGGUGAAAAUAUGUCUACCUGGGCCAUUUGGCCACCCCAGGUAUAGUGGUCCAGCUCAGCUAGGGGAGGUCAAAGGUGAGAAAGAUUCAGCCCCUGCCCCCCAGCAGCGUUCAACAGUUAUUUUUGUAGGCUGGGUGUCAGUCAUUGUGGAUUUGCUAAUAUCCUGGGUAUUAAAUCAUCUCCCCAUGGCACCCAUUUUUCUGGAAACCUUUAGUACCUUCUUGCCAUCCUCCAACUAGCAAUGUCCAGAUUCAUUUCCCAGGUUUCAUUCCCCACCAACCUGGUCCCUCAAUUACAGAAAACCCUGCGGCCUGCCUGUCGCCCACAAGAAAUAUACCUGGGAAGUAGCCCUCAGUCAGUGGCUCUGGGGAAGGUGUAUAAAUACCCCAGCUCCCUUGCCUUGUGGGUGGAUGACUCUGAGAUAUGAGUUGUGCUGCUUCUUAGGGUUUCCCCACAAGCUGAAGUUGUAGUUGCCUACUGUGAUAGCUGGCUUGAUGGAACACCCUCUAUCAUUUGCCUUUUCUUCCGUGUAUCCCCUCUGCAUGCCCCUUCCAGUGUCCUGGCAUCUCCUAAAUAAACUCCUCUACUUGAGUCCUGGCCUCUGGACAUGGUUCUCGGAAGACCAAGAAGUUACCUGGAUAUGUUGGUCACAAAAGUGAUAGUUAGCAUCAAGGAAUGGGGUUGUAUAAGUGUAUAGUGAAUAUGAAUCUUGCUGUUUGUGUUUUAACUUACAGAAAUAAAUUGUCCCAAAA
rnacentral:lncRNA from 1 species